UACGGAAGGCAGCAGUGGGGAAUAUUGCACAAUGGGCGCAAGCCUGAUGCAGCCAUGCCGCGUGUAUGAAGAAGGCCUUCGGGUUGUAAAGUACUUUCAGCGGGGAGGAAGGCGAUGCGGUUAAUAACCGCGUCGAUUGACGUUACCCGCAGAAGAAGCACCGGCUAACUCCGUGCCAGCAGCCGCGGUAAUACGGAGGGUGCAAGCGUUAAUCGGAAUUACUGGGCGUAAAGCGCACGCAGGCGGUCUGUUAAGUCAGAUGUGAAAUCCCCGGGCUUAACCUGGGAACUGCAUUUUGAACUGGCAGGCUUGAGUCUUGUAGAGGGGGUAGAAUUCCAGGUGUAGCGGUGAAAUGCGUAGAGAUCUGGAGGAAUACCGGUGGCGAAGGCGGCCCCUGGGACAAGACUGACGCUCAGGGUGCGAAAGCGUGGGGAGCGAAACAGGGAUUAGGAUACC
rnacentral:rRNA from 1 species